UCAGCCCUAAACACAAAUAAUUUUAAAAACAAAAUUAUUCGCCAGAGUACUACCGGCAACAGCCUAAAACUCAAAGGACUAGGCGGUGCUUUAUACCCUUCUAGAGGAGCCUGUUCUAUAAUCGAUAAACCCCGAUAGACCUCACCAAUUCUUGCUAAUACAGUCUAUAUACCGCCAUCUUCAGCAAACCCUAAAAAGGAACAAAAGUAAGCGCAAUCAUAACACAUAAAAACGUUAGGUCAAGGUGUAACCUAUGAAAUGGGAAGAAAUGGGGUACAUUUUCUAUUUCAAGAAAACCCACAUACGAAAGUUAUUAUGAAACUAAUAACCAAAGGAGGAUUUAGUAGUAAACUAAGAAUAGA
rnacentral:rRNA from 1 species